rnacentral:rRNA from 1 species
GAUGAACGCUGGCGGCGUGCCUAAUACAUGCAAGUCGAGCGAACAGAUGAGGAGCUUGCUCCUCUGACGUUAGCGGCGGACGGGUGAGUAACACGUGGAUAACCUACCUAUAAGACUGGGAUAACUUCGGGAAACCGGAGCUAAUACCGGAUAAUAUAUUGAACCGCAUGGUUCAAUAGUGAAAGACGGUUUUGCUGUCACUUAUAGAUGGAUCCGCGCCGCAUUAGCUAGUUGGUAAGGUAACGGCUUACCAAGGCAACGAUGCGUAGCCGACCUGAGAGGGUGAUCGGCCACACUGGAACUGAGACACGGUCCAGACUCCUACGGGAGGCAGCAGUAGGGAAUCUUCCGCAAUGGGCGAAAGCCUGACGGAGCAACGCCGCGUGAGUGAUGAAGGUCUUCGGAUCGUAAAACUCUGUUAUUAGGGAAGAACAAUUGUGUAAGUAACUAUGCACGUCUUGACGGUACCUAAUCAGAAAGCCACGGCUAACUACGUG